GAUGAACGCUGGCGGCGUGCUUAACACAUGCAAGUUGAACGAAGUGGCGGAUGGGCGAGUAACACGUGAGGAACCUGCCUUUCACAGGGGAAUAACACUGGGAAACCAGUGCUAAUACCGCAUAGUGAAAGAUGGCCUCGCGCCUGAUUAGCUAGGAGGUGAGGGAACGGCUCACCUAGGUGAUGAUCAGUCUCAGGAUGGAAGGUUGAGCGGCCGCAGUGGGACUGGGAGACGGCCCAGACUCCUACGGGAGGCAGCAGUGGGGAAUAUUGGGCAAUGGCGCAAGCCUGACCCAGCAACGCCGCGUGAAGGAAGACGUUCUUCGGAUGGAAAACUUCUGUAGACAGGGACGCGGUACCUAUAGAAUAAGCCACGGCUAACUACGUGCCAGCAGCCGCGGUAAUUC
rnacentral:rRNA from 1 species